GACGAACGCUGGCGGCGUGCUUAACACAUGCAAGUCGAACGGAAAGGCCCUGCUUUUGUGGGGUGCUCGAGUGGCGAACGGGUGAGUAACACGUGAGUAACCUGCCCUUGACUUUGGGAUAACUUCAGGAAACUGGGGCUAAUACCGGAUAGGAGCUCCUGCUGCAUGGUGGGGGUUGGAAAGUUUCGGCGGUUGGGGAUGGACUCGCGGCUUAUCAGCUUGUUGGUGGGGUAGUGGCUUACCAAGGCUUUGACGGGUAGCCGGCCUGAGAGGGUGACCGGGCACAAGGGGACUGAGAGACGGCCCAGAAGCCUACGGGAGGCAGCAGUGGGGAAUAUUGCGGAAUGGGGGGAAGCCUGAGGGAGCAACGUCGCGUGCGGGAUGACGGGCUUCGGGUGGUAAACAGCUUUCGCCUGUGACGAAGCGUGAGUGACGGUAAUGGGUAAAGAAGCACCGGCUAACUACGUG
rnacentral:rRNA from 1 species